CACCUGGGAUUAGAUACCCCACUAUGCCUGACCGUAAACUUUCAAACUACAUCAACAACCGCCAGGACAUUACGAGCCAAGCUUAAAACCCAAAGGACUUGACGGCGCCCCAAAUCCCUCUAGAGGAGCCUGUUCUAUAAUCGAUAACACCCGUUAUACCUCACCACCCCUUGCCACAUUCAGCCUGUAUACCUCCGUCGCCAGCUCACCACAUGAGCGAACAUUAGUGAACUCAAUGGCCCCCGCCAAUACGUCAGGUCAAGGUGCAGCAUAUGUUGUGGGCAGAAAUGGGCUACACUUCCUACCCCCCCUAGGAUACACAGAUGACCUAAUGAAACCUGGUCAGAAGGCGGAUUUAGCAGUAAAAGAGAGAUAGAGCACCUCUUUUAACUCGGCCCUGGGGCAUGUACACACCGCCCGUCACCCUUGAGA
rnacentral:rRNA from 1 species